rnacentral:tRNA from 1 species
GCCAGCGUGGUUUAGUGGUUUGAGUGUUGGUCUAUGACUCUGGACACCAGGGUUCAAAUCCCUGCUCAAGUA